rnacentral:snoRNA from 1 species
AUCGUCAAUGACGAUGAGGUUGUUGCUCAUAUACUCAAUGGUCUAGAUUUUGAUUAUCACCCCUUUGUCUCUUCCAUGAUGGGCCGAUCAGGAGAUCUUUCGCUCUCUGAAUUAUAUUCACUUCUCAUGGAAUAUGACC